UAGAGUUUGACCUGGCUCAGAUUGAACGCUGGCGGCAGGCCUAACACAUGCAAGUCGAACGGUAGCACAGAGAGCUUGCUCUCGGGUGACGAGUGGCGGACGGGUGAGUAAUGUCUGGGAAACUGCCCGAUGGAGGGGGAUAACUACUGGAAACGGUAGCUAAUACCGCAUAACGUCGCAAGACCAAAGUGGGGGACCUUCGGGCCUCACACCAUCGGAUGUGCCCAGAUGGGAUUAGCUAGUAGGUGGGGUAAUGGCUCACCUAGGCGACGAUCCCUAGCUGGUCUGAGAGGAUGACCAGCCACACUGGAACUGAGACACGGUCCAGACUCCUACGGGAGGCAGCAGUGGGGAAUAUUGCACAAUGGGCGCAAGCCUGAUGCAGCCAUGCCGCGUGUAUGAAGAAGGC
rnacentral:rRNA from 1 species